rnacentral:rRNA from 1 species
AUUGAACGCUGGCGGCAGGCCUAACACAUGCAAGUCGAGCGGAUGAAGGGAGCUUGCUCCUGGAUUCAGCGGCGGACGGGUGAGUAAUGCCUAGGAAUCUGCCUGGUAGUGGGGGAUAACGUCCGGAAACGGGCGCUAAUACCGCAUACGUCCUGAGGGAGAAAGUGGGGGAUCUUCGGACCUCACGCUAUCAGAUGAGCCUAGGUCGGAUUAGCUAGUUGGUGGGGUAAAGGCCUACCAAGGCGACGAUCCGUAACUGGUCUGAGAGGAUGAUCAGUCACACUGGAACUGAGACACGGUCCAGACUCCUACGGGAGGCAGCAGUGGGGAAUAUUGGACAAUGGGCGAAAGCCUGAUCCAGCCAUGCCGAGUGUGUGAAGAAGGUCUUCGGAUUGUAAAGCACUUUAAGUUGGGAGGAAGGGCAGUAAGUUAAUACCUUGCUGUUUUGACGUUACCAACAGAAUAAGCACCGGCGAACUUCGUG